UACGAAGGGGGCUAGCGUUGCUCGGAAUCACUGGGCGUAAAGCACACGUAGGCGGCUUCUUAAGUCAGGGGUGAAAUCCUGGAGCUCAACUCCAGAACUGCCUUUGAUACUGGGGAGCUCGAGUCCGGGAGAGGUGAGUGGAACUGCGAGUGUAGAGGUGAAAUUCGUAGAUAUUCGCAAGAACACCAGUGGCGAAGGCGGCUCACUGGCCCGGUACUGACGCUGAGGUGCGAAAGCGUGGGGAGCAAACAGG
rnacentral:rRNA from 1 species